UCCUUCACUGGGUGCUUUGCCUUAA
rnacentral:piRNA from 1 species